AGAAUUCAAGAUGAAAAACAAAAAUACAAAACAACUAAAAACUAUGCACAUAGGAAAAUGAUGUAUGAAGGAGAUUUCGGGCAGGGAAUGCGCAAGAACGGUCUAUGUGGAAAAGGAAACAGUGCGUUUCACACAAACGUCAGUUUCGUUUCAGCAAGGUUCUCCUCCAUCUCAACCUCAGUUCCUCUUUGAAAGGUUCCCCAGGCUCCUCUAACGAGAGCUAAAAUUGGUGAUUUCCACCAUUUUUUCAUUACCGCAACUGCUACAACUAUCCUUGAAAGAAUGGAGUAACCAAGAACAAAGGAAAGUAUGGUGGGAGGGAAAAGGGGCAAGCUUGUAGAGGUUAGACUUCUAUAGAGUUCAUUGUAUUAGGAGUGUUAUUUUGAGUGUUAGAACCUUCUUGUUGUUUCGGUUGUAUCAAGAAAGAAAUAGUGUAAAUGUAGAAGAGCUGCUGCAAAGGGGGCUAAAAAUGCAUGUAAAGUAUUUCAUAAAUUGUUGAAGAGAAAAUCACUAGCA